UACAGAGGUCCCGAGGCGUUGUUCGGAUUCACUGGGCGUAAAGGGCGCGUAGGCGGCGUAACAAGUCACUUGUGGAAAUCUCCGGGACUUAACUCGGAGCGGUCAAGUGAUACUGUUGUGCUAGAGUGCGGAAGGGGCUACUGGAAUUCGUCGAUGUAGCGGUGAAAUGCGGUAGAAUAUCGAGAGGAACACCUGCGGCGAAAGGCGGGGAUAGCCUG
rnacentral:rRNA from 1 species